CCCAUAUGGAAUUUACUGACCCCAUAUAUACCGUAUUACGUCACUAGCACACUAUGUAACUAAUAGUAUUCUUUGUCUAAGGCAUUUAACGUUAUAUAAUACGAAUGCUGCUAUACCCAAUGUUACAACAAUUGCAAUAGAACCUGCAUCCAUACCAAUAUUUUGUUUUUCAUAUUCAAUUGUUUGAGAUAAAUUCGGUGCAGAUUCGUUAUUGCGGAUUUUAUCAUAUGGCUGCACGUUUGGUACUUUUGUUUUCAAAACAUACGAAGAUGUAGAAAAUGUUGUUUUGAUAUUAUCAUGGGUAAACGUUUCUGUUGGCUGCACGGUUGGUCCUUUUGUUUUCCACAUGUUUGGUCCUUUUGUUGUCAACACGUUUGGUCCUUUUGUUGUCAACACGUUUGGUCCUCUGGUUUUCCAUAAGUUUGGUCCUUUUGUUGUCAACACGUUUGGUCCUCUGGUUUUCCAUACGUUUGGUCCUUUUGUUGUCAACACAUUUGGUCCUCUGGUUUUCCAUACGUUUGGUUCUUUUGUUGUCAACAUGUUUGGUCCUCUGGUUUUCCAUACGUUUGGUCCUCUAGUUUUCCAUACGUUUGGUCCUUUUGUUGUCAACACGUUUGGUCCUCUGGUUUUCCAUACGUUUGGUCUCUUUGUUUUCCUAUCAUUAUUUGGUAACUUGAAUUCAUUCUUGGAUUUAGAUAUGCUGUUGGAAGAAACUUGUUCAUUUAAUUUAGAUUUAGAAAAAUGUUCGGACUUAUGGAUUUUUCCUCCUCUACCAUCCAAAACAUCGUUUGGUAAUUUGAAUACAUUUCGGGAUUUUCGUCUCAAGGGAUGUGCUUUCGUCAAAUGAUAUUGUGUAGUACUUAAAAUUAAGUUCCGUCUAAUUGAAGAUUCGUUUUGUAAUCUUGAUUCCGAUAAUACACUUUCCCUUUUUUCUAAUGGAGACUGUUGGGUAACAGGAAGUAACAAGACGAUAAAAACGAUCUCCGUUAUCAUGAUUUCCU
rnacentral:lncRNA from 1 species